GGUGAGGCGGUCGCUCAGUCCGUGGGGUUGCUACUGCUGCCGCUGCCGCUGCCGCUGGCCGGGAGGUCGGGAGAACGGGUGGAGAGAGCCGACGCCUACACUCGCGGCGGGCGCGACGCCAGGGCAGGUCCCUCGGCCCGCCUACGGCCUCGCGGCCGCGCUGGAACAACUGGGCGGGCCUGGGUGAGCCCUGCGCGUCAGGCCUUUGUCCUCCGGGCGGGAACCCCAGACGCACGGGCGAGCCGGGCCGAACGUCCGCGGCGAAGCAAACGCGAGCUUGUUAAGUCGCCCGCGAAGAGCGGCGGGCACUGGCCCUCAGGGGUGCGAGGCCGGUGGUUGCGAACCAGGUGGGUAUUGCAGUUGCUUUCAAUAAUCACCCAAAUCCACUGUUCCUGGGCAAGCUCCUGGUGGAUUAAUCCUGCAGGAUGGCAGCCAUCAACCCGUGGGCUUCCUGGGGUAUCUUUACGGACCAGUCCUGGGGGAUGGCGGCUGUUGACCCGUGGGCCUCCUGGGCUCUGUGUCCUCAGGACUCUACCUGGUGCGUGGAGAAGACCCCUGAGGAGAGAAGGAGGGCCCCCAGGCUUCUGACAGCCCAGGCCCAG
rnacentral:lncRNA from 1 species